rnacentral:rRNA from 1 species
AUACGUAGGGUGCGAGCGUUGUCCGGAAUUACUGGGCGUAAAGAGCACGUAGGUGGCUUGUCGCGUCGUCUGUGAAAUUCCGGGGCUUAACUCCGGGCGUGCAGGCGAUACGGGCAUAACUUGAGUACUGUAGGGGUGCCGGGAAUUCCUGGUGUAGCGGGGAAAUGCGCAGAUAUCAGGAGGAACCCCGGUGGCGAAGGCGGGUCUCUGGGCAGUAACUGACGCUGAGGAGCGAAAGCAUGGGUAGCGAACAGGAUUAGAUACCCUGGUAGUCCAUGCCGUAAACGGUGGGCGCUAGGUGUAGGGGUCUUCCACGACUUCUGUGCCGUAGCUAACGCAUUAAGCGCCCCGCCUGGGGAGUACGGCCGCAAGGCUAAAACUCAAAGGAAUUGACGGGG